rnacentral:tRNA from 1 species
GCCACUGUAGCUUAGCUCGGUAGAGCGUCUGAUUCGUAAUCAGAAGGCCGGGAGUUCAAAUCUCCCCAGUGGCUCCA